CCCUGAGCGGUCCCUUGGACCUCUGUGAGCAACAGUGGACGUGUACACUGUGGUCACGCCAGCAUCGAAUCCAUCGAAGUUACAUGGUUUAUUAAAGUAAUCAAAUUACAGCAUUUACAUUUAUGUUAGACUACUUUUAAUUAACUGCUUUAGCCCACUUACAAUGAAAAUUUUAAAAAAUCUUGUUCAUGACCUGUGUAGUAUGUUAACACUAUUGGAAGUAAAAAUAACUUGAACUCCAAUUUUGAAAGCACAACUUUCUUUUUUUCUUUUUAUAAAGCUCUGACUUGUAUUAUGAGUAUGAGUCUGUGGUCUGGGAGAGAGUCCUGUAACCCUCUCUCUGCAAAAUACAUGUAACACCCGUCCCACAUUCUAUUGAGAGGGGCCCUGGGUUCCUGUUGUUACUUUCCUACUGAUACUCCCUUUUUAAUGCUUAUGAUAUAAACUAUGCAAUAAAACUACAUUAUAUGGAAAUAAACCACACACAAGCAGGUCAAUUAUAAAGUUAACUCCACUUUACACAGCAAAAACUGGAGUGUUAAAAUUUCAGGGUUAAACAUGUUAGAGUUGAUUUCCACUCUCAAAGUGUCAUUUUAACACAUUCUGAUUCAAAUAGUGUUCAGUGUUGGAGUUAUUAAACAGUGUUAUUCAGGUCCAAGCAAAUGAACUCUGAAGAGAGUUAUUUAUCUUGGUAGGCCCCUGGGCUUCUGCCCAGGUAAACCUGUGGAUCAAUUAAUAGUUUGCUCUGCCGGGCUGAUUUUCCAUGUGCUUCUGCUGGUUACACCGUGGUGGAUACCUGCUGUGUUGCUGUUUGGAGUAUUUUACACAAACGUAAAAUGCUGGUCCAGGUUCGAUACUGCCAACAGCAGAAGUAUGUGAAGUUGGAAGAGGUUGAUGGGCGGUUUGAGUUUAUGCAGUUUCAUGAAAAAGAAUUUUCUGAUUGCUCCUUGUCUUCUGCAUCUGAUUGUUCUGACUCAAGCUUCAGCUCAAAUGCAAGUACAUCAACUAUACUUCUACAUGAGGGUCCCAGGAAGAAAACAAGAGUUGAGGGUACUGUUGAUGCAGCAUCUGCUAAAAAGUUAAUUGAAGGUGUACUUGGAACCAAUUCAGGUGGUGAAGAGGUUCUCCAGGAAUAUCACACAACACAAACUCUAACAGAUGCUACCAGAAGAAAAAUGGUCAAUAUAAUAGCGGCUCACAUGAUUGAUUGCCAUGGGCACCUCCCCGCCAAAGCUGUUAGAGAACAGUACGCGCUAGGGAUAGUGACAUUGUUCCCAUCCCUGAAAGACCCAUACUCCAAGAAAGGCUAUGUAUAGUCACUAUUAUUGCACUUUGUUUACAUAAUUUUCAUGCUGUGCAUCAUUGGGAUUUGUGUGCGUUGACAUUUAAGUUCUGAAAAUUUUCAGAUUGACAACACAUUAUUUUUGAAUGUAUUUACAUUUCAGGAACACUUCUAUGAUGCUGCAAGCAGCACUGGAUACAUUUCUUGGCGUUUGAAAACGAUACAGAGAAAGACUAGAAGAGGAUCUGCACCACCAAGUAGCUCCACUGGCUUUGCUCAAGAAGGAGGGGGCCCAAAUUCCCAGAGGCCCAUUAAUAUCGACAUGCAGCUUGAUGGAGAUGCUUGCCAGGAGGCCAUCUCUUUGCUGAACCAUACAUCUGACACUUCCUUGAUUUUCCAAAAGAUGAGAGAGACCUUUCAGCAUCGUCAGAAGCUCAUCAAUGAUCCUGACAAAAGUCUUGAUAUC
ensembl:lncRNA